rnacentral:rRNA from 1 species
UUCCGGNUGAUCCUGCCGGAGGNNACUGCUCUUUAGGUUCGACUAAGCCAUGCGAGUCGAAUGUCCGUAAGGACAUGGCGAACUGCUCAGUAACACGUGGACAACCUGCCCUUUGGACAGGGAUACCCCUGGGAAACUGGGACUAAUCCCUGAUAAGUCUCCGUAGCUGGAAUGCUCGGAGACGGAAAGCUCCGGCGCCACAGGAUGGGUCUGCGGCCUAUCAGGGUAGUAGUGGGUGUAGAGUACCUACUAGCCUACGACGGGUACGGGUUGUGAGAGCAAGAGCCCGGAGAUGGAUUCUGAGACACGAAUCCAGGCCCUACGGGGUGCAGCAGGCGCGAAAACUUUACAAUGCGGGACACCGCGAUAAGGGGACCUCGAGUGCUGCUUACAAUGCUGGCUGUCCAGCUGCCUAAAUAGCAGUUGAUAGCAAGGGCCGGGCAAGACCGGUGCCUGCCGCCGCGGUAACACCGGCGGCUCGAGUGGAAACCGCUAUUAUUGGGUC